rnacentral:lncRNA from 1 species
GGGAUUACAGAUGAGUACCACCCCACCUGGCUAAUUUUCAUAUUUUUAGUAGAGAUGGGGUUUCACCAUGUUGGCCAGGCUGGUUUCAAACUCCUGACCUCAAGUGAUCUGCUCGCCUCAGCCUCCCAAAGUGCUAGGAUUACAGGCGUGAGCCACCACACCCAACCACAAAACUAGAACAUUCUAAUGUAUGUACAGUUCUAGGAUUUUUUUCCUAAAUGUUACUUUUGCUCACGUAUCCCCCAGCCUCUCCACCCUCUCCACCCUCCCCUCUCUGAAGUGGGCUUGCCGGGAACAAGGUCAUGCUCAUGCACACGUUGCUCUUAGGAAAGUACUUGCCACAUGACAGAUGCUCAGUAAAUGUUAGCUGUAAUUUUUAUUUUUCUAUAAAAGGAAAGGUUUUCCGUGUGGUAAUUUUUCAGCCCUACCCUGAUUGCUAGUCAAGAAAUGGUCAUUUUGUAACUAGUUUGUGCAAGGCAGGAGGUUCUGUACUGUCAGCUACCACGUGGCCUAGAAAUUCUUCCAGUUUCCGCUGUGUGGGCAUUCCUUCUCUCCCUGUUCUUUUCCCUGUUCCUCUCUUCCUCUUCUCCUUUCUUAAAAAAUAGUCUUCUAAAUUUGCUUAGUGUUGGCAGAAUAUAUCUCAUAAUUGAAAGGGUGUCUUUGGAGUUUUACAGAAUUGAAUUUACUUCUUGCUGCUUACCAUGUUAGCUUUUCAACCUGAUGUAAAAGUGUUCUUUCAGUGGCUGGUAUUUUCCUCUUGAAUCCACACGAUGGCUCCC